CCGCACAAGCGGUGGAGCAUGUGGUUUAAUUCGAUGAUACGCGAGGAACCUUACCUGGGCUCAAAUGUAUGUUGACGUAUUCUGAAAGGGAUACUUCUUCGGACAAUAUACAAGGUGCUGCAUGGUUGUCGUCAGCUCGUGCCGUGAGAUGUUGGGUUAAGUCCCGCAACGAGCGCAACCCUUGCCUUUAGUUGCCAGCAGUUCGGCUGGGCACUCUAAAGGGACUGCCGGUGUUAAACCGGAGGAAGGUGGGGAUGACGUCAAGUCCUCAUGGCCUUUAUGACCAGGGCUACACACGUACUACAAUGGCCGAUACAAAGGGCAGCGACACUGCGAGGUGAAGCCAAUCCCGUAAAAUCGGUCUCAGUCCGGAUUGGAGUCUGCAACUCGACUCCAUGAAGUUGGAAUCGCUAGUAAUCGUGGAUCAGCAUGCCACGGUGAAUACGUUCCCGGGCCUU
rnacentral:rRNA from 1 species